AGGCAGUGUACUGCUAGCUGGCUGCCGUAUCUGGAUGGAGCAGUCACUCCUGCACUGCCAC
rnacentral:pre_miRNA from 1 species